CUGCCAACCCCUUGACUGCCAUACUCCACAUGUUGCUCCAAAUUCUCAAGGGAUUUCUAGCGGAGGAACGGCGGCACCUCCCUUUUCUCGAUUCCCCUUCGGCGGCCACCUUCCUCACGACUCACGCUGGCAUCCCGCCGUCUCCGACGCUACCUCUCUCCUUCAGCGUCUCGCGUUUGGCACCUCCCCUGCCUUCACGGCGUCGUCGACGCGGGGAUGGGAGGUCGAUUCCUCGGUGGAGCCACCAUGCUUCGGCCGUGAGCCAUUGUCAGCGCUCGCCUCUCGUUUCGCUGCAGCAGCUCCGCCGCUGCGUCUCCGGCUGAGGCAACGCCGUCGGUCCGCCGCUGGCCGCUCGCGAAGACGGCUCCAGCUCGCGGCGUCACUGGCCGCCGGCGACUCAUGCUGACGCAACCUCCGCCGCAUUCGUUCUUAAAGCUAAGUCCCAACUUUCCAUUAUCUAAUUCGUUCUAUUGAAGUUUGUAUGGGAUCUAGUAGCACUAGGGUUCUGAUUUGAGACAUGUUUGAGGUCGGCCAAUUAUAAGUUAUUUCCUUGAUGAUUCUGAGCAAAUUGUUGGUAUCUGAUAGCUCUGUUACUGUGUGUAUGUUGAGCUCCUAUGUUAUACAUGAGUUAAACGAGCAGGGGUGUGUGGAAGUUGCACCACUUCUUCUUACUCUAUCAUUCUGCCUCAAUAUGAAUGGUGUCGGUCUAACAUGCUUUAAAUGCUUAUAUGAUGAUAUGGGUUCAAACUGAAUUCGCAGUGUAUCUCAUUGUUCUCUACUCCUAGCUUUGAUCUGCCUAACUGAGUGAGAAGUGUGUGGGACGAUAGAGUGUAACUGAGGGGAUUAGCAUGUGUAUUUAUAUACAUAGAUUGCAACCGAAAGCUGCAAAAGCUUGAUGCUUGACUGAAAAGGGAUCCUUAGGUUGUGCAAGCUGGCUGCCCUUUCUGCAGCUUUGCAGAGCAUGUACUCUGAGUCUCUGGUUUCUUUCUAACCGAUUCCGUGGUUUAUGGUGCUGUACUCGUGAAUUAAAUGCAGUUUCUGUUGCUCCUAUACCACGUAGCCUUACAUUCUGAGUCUUUUGCAGCCUUUAAUCUGUUUUUCUGGUGUGUUCGCAGGCGGUUAGGCCCUUAAAAAGGCUGUCGAUCGAGCCCCACAGCUGGAGCUCUGCUGGCAGUGUAGGUGGUUUUAUUUCUUGGCUCGUAGCGGCUGCUACGGCCGUGGAUAUGCAGGCGACGCUGGUUGUGGCAGCCCCUCAUUCUUGCCUAGUUGGCUCAACGGUGUGUAUCUGGCAGAGACAAGGAGGUUGAUCUCCCCCAGGCUGUUACCUCGUCGGUUCGGCCCAACGGGCCGACGUCUAGGCUAAGGGAGAGGCCCAAUUGCUAACUUUCUCUUUUCUUUCUCCUAUUGUAAUAGGGUAGCUCCACUAAUAAAUUUUCAUUCUUCAACAUAUAAUAGCUAGUUGAUGUGUAUUUCGUUUUUCCUUUAUUUUCAUCGUCAAUAUUUGUAAUCCACGAUUUAAAUUGGAAUUUCUAAAUAUCGUUUUUUUUUCUCAA